UUAAACAAUAACAUGCUGAAUAAAUACGUUUAUUCCGCGUAACCGUUUGAAUGAAUCAUUGUUUUUAUCAACGGUAUCAAUUUGUAAACAGAGAUUAGAAUUGUUUUAUAAAUAAAGAAGCCAUAUCUAUUUCUUUGUCGACGCAAUAUAAACUGAAAUUUUCGUUUGAUAUAAUCGAUCUGAUAUUUGACAUCUCACGUAUCGAGUUAACUUCUUUACGGUUGUUGCAUUUCCUUAAUCGAGCCAACCGGAUACUUUGAGGCUAUCGGACAGGUGAAUGAACCGGUAAAAGAACAUCGUCUCGGACCGACGGUAACUUGGCAUGCGAUCGAGAGUCGCUUUUUUGAACAAUUACGUAGAAACGUGCUGAACUAACUUCUCGUAGCGGCUAUUUUCUUCUUUUUCUUAACUCUAUAAGCCAAUAAGGACAUCACCAGAGUCGGGACACCUUUAACGCAAGUGUGACAGUUACAGGACAGUAAUCGUUCGAAAAAAAGCCCAUUCAUAAGUUAACAAAAAGUAAUUUGAAAAUGUUUAACGACCUAACCACCAGUUCGACCAGUUACCGCGGUUCAACUUUGCUGUUUUUCUUAACCAGUAGAUGCGACUUUAGAUAAGAGUUUUGACAAGUGCGCCUGCGACCGUCUAUGGGGUGCCGACUGAACGACGAGCCAUGCCUUCGGGAACUCAGGGAGAGGCACGUACGAGCGAGUGGGUGCGGGGAAAGUUGUUUCUUUAUUAAGAAUAACAAUUUCACAAUGGAAGCUUUGAUAUUGAGUCAACGAUUAAUGAAAAAUAACAGCGUCGGCGUACCCUUUAACGUGCUUUGGUAGAUCUAAAAAAAAGAAAAAAGAAAAAAAUAAGGAAAAAAAGAAAAACACUCUCGGCGAGAAAAAUGAAGGACUUUGUGGCGUAGUCCAAGUUAGAUUAUAUGGACCGACGGAGCAAUCUUAUGGAAUGGAGCUACUGAAAUCUUAAUUCGAGUCGGCGCGCUGUGCCAUUGGAUACGUCGACUGGGGGUGGCGCCUUUCAAAAGCGACGCUUACAAGCACGUUACACACACGGUUAGAUAGGAGAAUGGUGGUAGUCCUUGUUAGACCAAACAGUUACCCAGAGAUUUGGAUAGACCCAAGUAUCAUUCUUGCUCGAGUUUCCUUACAAUCCUUGGGAUUGUUUGAAUAAGAUGCCAAUUGAACUUGUCGAAGACAUCGCUGGACCAAGGUCAAACGGACACUCCGUAUGUUUCACAUUGUUAUGCGAAUUUGAAGAAUCAUAAAAAUCAGGAUGACAGAGAAAAGGAGUGAGAGUUUGAAGGUCGUUUGAAUGAGCAUCCCUUGGAGUGUUAGGUGGUCCAAUUUGAGGAGAUGCUUCACGGCGAGAAAAAAAAGAGGAUGAAAAAGUAAGAGAAGUGCCGUACGUGUGGGCCCAACGGUAAAGGGGGGAAAAAGGCAAGAGGAGGAACGUCAAAUUGAUCCAUAUUAAUAAGAACGGAGAUUCGCGUUGCCGGACUUUUGCAUAAAUUUGAAUCGGCCCUCAUACAGCUCGCGGCAAGGGUUGCGAAUUUGAAUAAUCGAGAAUAAUUUCGAAGUUUUCUCGUGCAAACGCGAGGUAGCGUGCGCGGGUCCGCGACUACGGGGACGUGAUCAGCCGACGUUUCGAAAUAUUUCCUAGUGUAACGCUUUUCUCUCUUAUUUUACCUCACUUCCCCGUACUAGAGUACCAUCCAUCCAACCACCACAGUGCCAUCUCGUUCCGUCCGGUAGAUGUAGGUAAUUAACCGCAUGCACCAGCCGGAAUUGGAAAAAUACAGAACGCUUUAGAAAUCAG
rnacentral:lncRNA from 1 species